AAAAAGUGUUUGUAAACAAAUAUCUUCUAUAAGAAAAAGAAAACCAUACUUUUACUAUUUAUAAAGUUUUAAGACCGAAAUUGCAAAAUCGUGCUUUGCAGUGGCAUGCGGAGUGAUGUAAAGAAUAUUUUAGAAAAAUAAUCGUAAGAAAAUAUUGCUUCUUCGCUUCAAAAAACUUGAUCAGCUUCGUUGCUGUGAAAUUUUGAUGAUUUGUAUGGUAAUAUGCCUGCCUCGUUAUCGCGCUUUCUGUUGUGGCGCUGUCGUCGUCUGUUCUGUUGUUACUAAAUCGUCAGUCUACACUAGAGAUGGCUAGAACUGCUACUUGUGAAUCACUCGUGAUUCGAUCACGGUGAUUUUUCACAGUGAUUCGUGAUUUUUCGUGAUCGCUUCUGAUUGGUGAAGAACAUAACUGUUCCUUGCAUGCGUUGUUAGAAUCUUCAGCCUAAAUGUAUAUGCGCCGUAAUGAAAAACACCCUACCUGUAUAUUUUACAUAUAUUCUAUAUACAUAAGUAUGUAAUUAACGACAUCAAAUACAUCGCAUAAAAUAAAGUAAAGUAAGGAAUAGUAAAUAAAGGAAUGCUUUAAUGAGGAAGAGUGAAGAGUAAUGAAAAUAAGUCAAUAAUUAUGAAUUGCAAGUUUUAAUUUAAUUUUUCUGGCAGAUGUUUUUUAAUCCUGAUGUCAAUGGUAUUAUAAUAGAUAUGGUUGGAUAUUGUUCUCCACUUAUAAUUUUUGUUGCUGAUUCAAUCGGUUUUAGUAUGACUGCCAAUUCAUGCAAUAUUUCCCACUCUGCACUUGUAAUUUGUGGUACGUUUGACUUCCUCAAAGCGAGCCAGGAUUAAAGAGUGUGAAAUAAAUUUGCGAUUUGGAAAUUCGUAACUUGGAUUCAAAGCAUGUACAAAUUCUUUGAAUUCAAUAUCUUCAACUAUUUUAAAAGGUUGCAAAUCAUUUAUAAACAGGCAUAAUAAUUUUUCAUCAAUAUUUUUGCAGUUUGCUGCUGUCAUCUUUCGUGUGGCAAUGGCAAUACGUUACUUGGAUCAGGUUGAGAAUUUGCAGUAUGUCCUGAACUGUCUUGAGUUGUUGGCAAUAUGAUAAUAUUGCUUGGCCCAGCUUGAGGAACUUCUGGAUUAUCAGGAUCAGUUGCGGACUGUGAUGACUAUGGCUAGAAAAAAUGGAAACAUGGAAAAAUACAUUCUACAAUCAAUAGAUAUAUGAAAAAGCAUGCAGGAAAAUGUUUUUAGAUUAGAGAUAAUUACAGUGUUAAUACGUACAAACAAAAAUAGAUAUUUUUGUAAUAUUUUUACAUUUUUCAUUUCAUUUUAUUUUAUUUUAGCUUACACGUUUUAACACAAAAUAAGUUAUAAUUAUUUACUUAUUAGGGGUGUGUGGGUACCCGAAAAUACAAAUCGAGACAGAUUGCGUAGUUAUCGGGUCGAAUAGGGUAUGAUUCUGAAAGUAUGCUCAAUGCAUACAUUUUUUGGAUACAUGCACACCCAUACUACUUAUAUAUUUAUUGAUUAUAUCUUAAUUAAGCUUACCUGUGUUUUUUGUCUCCAUGCUAACUGCCAUGGACUGGAAUAACUAACAUCAUUUCUCGUCGAAUACUUACUUGGGAGGAUUCCGUUGAUCCAUCGUUGUAGUUUCCGCUCGGCUACCUCAUCUGCCCUCCUCCUGGAAUAUUGGUCCAUGAUACCUGAAACAAGAAAGGGGAAUUAAUACCUAUUCUAAUCGUAGCUAGGACCUGUCGCUCCUUAGCUUCGAAAUGGCGACCGAAGGCUCCCGACCCUGAUACGCAACAGGAUCGACGAACCCGGGGCGUUACAAGUUCAUGGGGGGUGAAUUAUUCCGAUAGAACGUGAUGUGAUCUCUCCAACGAGCCGUUCGAUUGCGGUCGGAAUGCCGUUGUUCUGAGUUGUUUAAUAUUGAAUCUCUUUGUCACAUGUUUCAUCACGGAUGAUAUUAAGUUGGCUCCCUGAUCGGUUCAAACUGCCGGAGCGGCUCGACAGAGGGAACCAAUGAACCAAGACGGUGUUAAGAAACUGUCUAGGAGACGGAAGGUUCUCCUUGAAUGUCAGGUGGGUCCGUUGACUGUCAAGAGGUUUGGCGAACGAAUACACGUCCCUACAAACGUAGCAGUCAAAAGAAGGGCGAGAAAAUACGAAAGUAAUGGUCAACGUGGUCGUGCGAAGAAAAACGGGAUUAAUUUAAGUAUUCGAAUAAUUGUUAAUAAAGGUUUAACGAAAGAGACCGGGC